AACGAACGCUGGCGGCAUGCCUAACACAUGCAAGUCGAACGAAGCCUUCGGGCUUAGUGGCGCACGGGUGCGUAACGCGUGGGAAUCUGCCUUCAGGUACGGAAUAACUCAGGGAAACUCGUGCUAAUACCGUAUGAUGACUUCGGUCCAAAGAUUUAUCGCCUGAAGAUGAGCCCGCGUAGGAUUAGCUAGUUGGUGGGGUAAAGGCCUACCAAGGCGACGAUCCUUAGCUGGUCUGAGAGGAUGAUCAGCCACACUGGGACUGAGACACGGCCCAGACUCCUACGGGAGGCAGCAGUGGGGAAUAUUGGACAAUGGGCGAAAGCCUGAUCCAGCAAUGCCGCGUGAGUGAAGAAGGCCUUCGGGUUGUAAAGCUCUUUUACCCGGGAUGAUAAUGACCGUACCGGGAGAAUAAGCCCCGGCUAACUCCGUGCCAGCCGCCGCAGUAAUAC
rnacentral:rRNA from 1 species